rnacentral:rRNA from 1 species
GCGUGCUUAACACAUGCAAGUCGAACGAAGCACUCUAUUUGAUUUUCUUCGGAAAUGAAGAUUUUGUGACUGAGUGGCGGACGGGUGAGUAACGCGUGGGUAACCUGCCUCAUACAGGGGGAUAACAGUUGGAAACGACUGCUAAUACCGCAUAAGCGCACAGGAUUGCAUGAUCCGGUGUGAAAAACUCCGGUGGUAUGGGAUGGACCCGCGUCUGAUUAGCCAGUUGGCAGGGUAACGGCCUACCAAAGCGACGAUCAGUAGCCGACCUGAGAGGGUGACCGGCCACAUUGGGACUGAGACACGGCCCAAACUCCUACGGGAGGCAGCAGUGGGGAAUAUUGCACAAUGGGGGAAACCCUGAUGCAGCGACGCCGCGUGAGCGAAGAAGUAUUUCGGUAUGUAAAGCUCUAUCAGCAGGGAAGAAGAAUGACGGUACCUGACUAAGAAGCACCGGCUAAAUACGUGCCAGCAGCCGCGGUAAUAUGUAUGGUGCAAGCGUUAUCCGGAUUUACUGGGUGUAAAGGGAGCGCAGGCGGUGCGGCAAGUCUGAUGUGAAAGCCCGGGGCUCAACCCCGGUACUGCAUUGGAAACUGUCGUACUAGAGUGUCGGAGGGGUAAGUGGAAUUCCUAGUGUAGCGGUGAAAUGCGUAGAUAUUAGGAGGAACACCAGUGGCGAAGGCGGCUUACUG